UGACAGCGGUGUUAGAGAUGGUUAGG
rnacentral:piRNA from 1 species